AUUGAACGCUGGCGGCAUGCUUUACACAUGCAAGUCGAACGGCAGCGCGGGGGCAACCCUGGCGGCGAGUGGCGAACGGGUGAGUAAUGCAUCGGAACGUAUCCUGUAAUGGGGGAUAACGUAGCGAAAGUUACGCUAAUACCGCAUACGCUCGAGAGAGGAAAGUGGGGGAUCGCAAGACCUCACGUUAUAGGAGCGGCCGAUGUCCGAUUAGCUAGUUGGUGGGUAAAGGCCUACCAAGGCGACGAUCGGUAGCUGGUCUGAGAGGAUGAUCAGCCACACUGGGACUGAGACACGGCCCAGACUCCUACGGGAGGCAGCAGUGGGGAAUUUUGGACAAUGGGCGAAAGCCUGAUCCAGCCAUGCCGCGUGCGGGAAGAAGGCCUCGG
rnacentral:rRNA from 1 species